rnacentral:rRNA from 1 species
AUUGAACGCUGGCGGCAUGCUUUACACAUGCAAGUCGAACGGCAGCACGGGUGCUUGCACCUGGUGGCGAGUGGCGGACGGGUGAGUAAUGCAUCGGAACGUGUCCUAAAGUGGGGGAUAACGCAUCGAAAGAUGUGCUAAUACCGCAUAUUCUCUGAGGAGGAAAGUAGGGGAUCGAAAGACCUUAUGCUUUUGGAGCGGCCGAUGUCUGAUUAGCUAGUUGGUAAGGUAAUGGCUUACCAAGGCGACGAUCAGUAGUUGGUCUGAGAGGACGACCAGCCACACUGGGACUGAGACACGGUCCAGACUCCUACGGGAGGCAGCAGUGGGGAAUAUUGCGCAAUGGACGCAAGUCUGACGCAGCAAUACCGCGUGAGUGAGGAAGGCCUUCGGUUGUAAGCGUACUGUCAGGGUGGAAAA